GGGUUUGAGGUCUAUAUGGGAUCCUGGGGUCUAUGGGGUGGGAUUUGAGGUCUAUAUGGGGUCUAUGGGGUCGGAUUUGGGGUCUAUACGGGAUCUAUACGGGAUUUGGGGUCUAUGGGUUUGGAUUUGGGGUCUAUAUGGGGUCUACAGAGUGGGAUUUGAGGUCUAUAUGGGAUCCUGGGGUCUAUGGGGUGGGAUUUGGGGUCUAUAUGGGAUCCUGGAGUCUAUGGGGUGGGCUUUAGGGUCUAUACGGGGUCUAUGGGGUGGGAUUUGGGGUCUAUAUGGGGUCUAUGGGGUGGGAUUUGAGGUCUAUAUGGGAUCCUGGGGUCUAUGGGGUGGGAUUCGGGGUUCAUAUGGGGAACUAUGGGAGUCUAUGGGGAGGGAUUUGAGGUCUAUAUGGGGUCUAUGGGGUCGGAUUUGGGGUCUAUAUGGGGUCUAUGGGGUGGGAUUUGAGGUCUAUAUGGGAUCCUGGGGUCUAUGGGGUGGGAUUCGGGGUCCAUAUGGGGAACUAGGGGAGUCUAUGGGGUGGGAUUUGAGGUCUAUAUGGGGUCUAUGGGGUGGGAUUUGAGGUCUAUAUGGGAUCCUGGGGUCUAUGGGGUGGGAUUUGAGCUCUAUAUGGGGUCUAUGGGGUCGGAUUUGGGGUCUAUACGGGAUCUAUACAGGAUUUAGGGUCUAUGGGGAGGGCUUUGGGGUCUAUAUGGGGUGUAUGGGGUGGGAUUUGAGGUCUAUAUGGGGUCUAUGGGGUGGGAUUUGAGGUCUAUAUGGGGUCUAUGGGGUGGGAUUUGAGGUCUAUAUGGGAUCCUGGGAUCUAUGGGGUGGGAUUCGGGGUCCAUAUGGGGAACUAUGGGAGUCUAUGGGGUGGGAUUUGAGGUCUAUAUGGGGUUUAUGGGGUGGGAUUUAGGGUUUAUAUGGGGUCUAUGGGGUGGGAUUUGAGGUCUAUAUGGGGUCUAUGGGGUGGGAUUUGAGGUCUAUAUAGGAUCCUGGGGUCUAUGGGGUGGGAUUUGAGGUCUAUACGGGGUCUAUGGGGUCGGAUUUGGGGUCUAUAUGGGAUCUAUACGGGAUUUGGGGUCUAUGGGGAGGGCUUUGGGGUCUAUAUGGGGUGUAUGGGGUGGGAUUUGAGGUCUAUAUGGGGUGUAUGGGGUGGGAUUUGGGGUCUAUAUGGGGUCUAUGGGGUGGGAUUUGAGGUCUAUAUGGGAUCCUGGGGUCUAUGGGGUGGGAUUUGAGGUCUAUAUGGGGUCUAUGGGGUGGGAUUUGGGGUCUAUAUGGGAUCUAUACGGGAUUUGGGGUCUAUGGGGAGGGCUUUGGGGUCUAUAUGGGGUGUAUGGGGUGGGAUUUGAGGUCUAUAUGGGGUUUAUGGGGUGGGAUUUGAGGUCUAUAUGGG
ensembl:lncRNA